rnacentral:rRNA from 1 species
GAUGAACGCUGGCGGCGUGCCUAAUACAUGCAAGUCGAGCGAACGGACGAGAAGCUUGCUUCUCUGAUGUUAGCGGCGGACGGGUGAGUAACACGUGGAUAACCUACCUAUAAUACUGGGAUAACUUCGGGAAACCGGAGCUAAUACCGGAUAAUAUUUUGAACCGCAUGGUUCAAAAGUGAAAGACGGUCUUGCUGUCACUUAUAGAUGGAUCCGAGCUGCAUUAUCUAGUUGGUAAGGUAACGGCUUACCAAGGCAACGAUGCAUAGCCGACCUGAGAGGGUGAACGGCCACACUGGAACUGAGACACGGUCCAGACUCCUACGGGAGGCAGCAGUAGGGAAUCUUCCGCAAUGGGCGAAAGCCUGACGGAGCAACGCCACGUGAGUGAUGAAGGUCUUCGGAUCGUAAAACUCUGUUAUUAGGGAAGAACAUAUGUGUAAGUAACUGUGCACAUCUUGACGGUACCUAAUCAGAAAGCCACGGCUAACUACGUG